rnacentral:rRNA from 1 species
GGUUCGGGAUGGGCUCGCGGCCUAUCAGCUUGUUGGUGAGGUAAUGGCUCACCAAGGCGUCGACGGGUAGCCGGCCUGAGAGGGUGACCGGCCACACUGGGACUGAGACACGGCCCAGACUCCUACGGGAGGCAGCAGUGGGGAAUAUUGCACAAUGGGCGGAAGCCUGAUGCAGCAACGCCGCGUGAGGGAUGACGGCCUUCGGGUUGUAAACCUCUUUUAGCAAGGAAGAAGCGAAAGUGACGGUACUUGCAGAAAAAGCGCCGGCUAACUACGUGCCAGCAGCCGCGGUAAUACGUAGGGCGCAAGCGUUAUCCGGAAUUAUUGGGCGUAAAGAGCUCGUAGGCGGUUUGUCGCGUCUGCUGUGAAAACUGGAGGCUCAACCUCCAGCCUGCAGUGGGUACGGGCAGACUAGAGUGCGGUAGGGGAGAUUGGAAUUCCUGGUGUAGCGGUGGAAUGCGCAGAUAUCAGGAGGAACACCGAUGGCGAAGGCAGAUCUCUGGGCCGUAACUGACGCUGAGGAGCGAAAGGGUGGGGAGCAAACAGGCUUAGAUACCCUGGUAGUCCACCCCGUAAACGUUGGGAACUAGUUGUGGGGGCCAUUCCACGGUCUCCGUGACGCAGCUAACGCA